UACGGGGGGGGCAAGCGUUGUUCGGAAUUACUGGGCGUAAAGGGCUCGUAGGCGGCCAACUAAGUCGGAUGUGAAAUCCCCAGGCUUAACCUGGGAACUGCAUCCGAUACUGGAUGGCUUGAAUCCGGGAGAGAGAUGCGGAAUUCCAGGUGUAGCGGUGAAAUGCGUAGAUAUCUGGAGGAACACCGGUGGCGAAGGCGGCAUCCUGGACCGGCAUUGACGCUGAGGAGCGAAAGCCAGGGGAGCAAACGGG
rnacentral:rRNA from 1 species